rnacentral:lncRNA from 1 species
UUUUUUACCUGUUAGAUGCCGAUCACUUUAAUCUGUUCCGAUUCCGGUGCCGGUAGCAAACCCAUAUAUGAAAGAAAGGAAAGGUAGGAGCUUUUUUACCUUAUCUGUAUUUUAACCUAACUUUGAAUGAAAAAGAAAAAAUAAAAAUUAAUUUUAAUUUAAAAUAAGGAUGUUUUAGUAAUUUAAUAUAUAUGAAUUAAAAAAAUAAAAAGUUGAGGGGUGGCCGUGGCCUUCCCACGUCCCCCCUCAGUUCC